rnacentral:lncRNA from 1 species
GUCCCUCUCUCACCUCUCAGAACCCCUCUCAUCCCUGAUAAACCCUAGCGCCGCCGCCCCAAAAUCCCACCGCCUUAACCUGGCGGCGCCAUCUUUUCUCACCCCUAAAUCAACACCACACAAUCUUCAAGACACCCUUAUUCCGAAUCCCCACUUGGUUUCUUUCAAAUACCUCCAAAACCUCUCGAAUCUUAAAUCUCGGGUUCGAGUUCUAGAGGUCAAAGUCAAGUUCAUCCAUGCAAAGUCAUCCUUCCAAGGUACAAAGCUUGGUUCGUCUCAGAAUGGUGUUAUUCGUGGGUUCUUAAAAAAGAACAAGCGAUUUACACCAUUUUGGGAUGAAACCAGAACUGCCCGGUGACUUCAAGUUUGAUCGGUGAGUGUUCUUUUGUUUUCUAUUCGUUAUUGUUCGUUUCAUCUCUUUUUCUUCUUCUUUUCUUUUACGUUUAUUUGAAUGCCCUGUCCUCUGUCUGAAAUCGUUCAAGAGUUUGGAACCUAGUCUUUCCCUUUAGAUUGAUUUGGGGUUCAUUUUUGUUCUGUUGGAUUUUUAGUUGUCUUUUUAAGUUCUUAAUUGUUGUUCUAUGUUUCUGUUUUUUUUAGAACAUUUUAUGAUAAUUGGUUUAAGUUAGAUUUUUGUUCAUUUGGUAAAUUAGUUCCGGUUUAGUAUUUUAGCUUUAAAAAAAAAGAGAGAAACCAAUCGCUUAGUUUAGACCUUGAUUUUUGAAGUUAUUCAAUUGUUUCCCUUUUCUGCUUCUCAUCAAUUUAGUUAAAUGGAUUUUUGAUUUGGGCCUGAGGUUCACUGGAUUCAUUCAUUUGGACUUGAAUAUAUGGGUCAUUGACCCAUGACCCAUACCCAUGGGUUGCAACAGUAAAAACAAGGUCAUUAAGGGGUAAUUUGGGUAUUCCAGUCUAGGGAAUCUUUGUAUAACAACCUUAAGAUGCUUUCAGGAAAUGAGAUGGGGGGCUGUGUUUGAAAUUCUUAUAGUUGAUUAGAGGUAUUUUAGCUAAAACGAAAAUGGGAAAGGGGGGGUAAGUGCAAGUCUGAUUCUCUUAGGAUUGCCCUAAUGCCUUGCCUAUAAAGGCAUCUCUAUCUUGCAUUUCAAGGGGGAAUUCAAGGGGUGAAGAGCUAGAAAUCCAGAAAAGGCUUCAGACAACUGAAAAUAUCAUAAAGAAUUACUGUUUCGUCAAGUUUUAACUUGAACUUUGAGGUCUUUUUGAAUUUCUAAAGCAAUUUUCUGAUUCACAUAGAUUUAACAGGGUUUGAGGUUAAUUUCUGGAAAGUUUUACGCCAAGCUGAGUUAAAAUUAUUGUUCUAUUGGACUUAUAGUCGGUUCUCUGGGUUCAACAUCCUUAAUCUGGGGUUGUGUUCUAGCUGGUGUGGCUGUUUAUCUGCUGAUACUAUUCUGUUGUGCUGAUCCACAUCUUUUCUCUUAUUUUGCUCUCCAGGUACACAUUUCUGAACUUAAAGCCAUGUACGAAGUUUUGACUUGCAGAAUGAAAUGAAAUAGCUGCAAUAUGUCUUGCUCUUUAGUUUAGUGCUAUUGUUUCCAUAUCCCAUGAUUUUGUAUUUGUUUAGUAUAGUGACUGUUUACUAUGAGUGGCUGUAACUAAUAGUUUGCUAACAUGAAGUUAGAUGUAACAAUUACUACUUGAUUAUUUGCGGGAUUUAGAGUCUGUUAUAGUAGUUUAAUUGGACUGGGAAGGACACUCAGUUGGAUUGUGUUAAUCAGACAGUUAUACAUUUUUUGUGUUUUUUGGGGGUGAUAAUUGAUAGUUGCAGUUUGUGAAAUUCAGUUCAGUGGCGUUUUACUAGGU